CACUUAACAGCUAGCUUAAUACCAAUUUCACAG
rnacentral:rRNA from 1 species